GACGAACGCUGGCGGCGCGCCUAACACAUGCAAGUCGAACGAGAGAUGAGGAGCUUGCUCUUCAAAUCGAGUGGCGAACGGGUGAGUAACGCGUGAGGAACCUGCCUCAAAGAGGGGGACAACAGUUGGAAACGACUGCUAAUACCGCAUAAGCCCACGGCUCGGCAUCGGGCAGAGGGAAAAGGAGCAAUCCGCUUUGAGAUGGCCUCGCGUCCGAUUAGCUAGUUGGUGAGGUAACGGCCCACCAAGGCGACGAUCGGUAGCCGGACUGAGAGGUUGAACGGCCACAUUGGGACUGAGACACGGCCCAGACUCCUACGGGAGGCAGCAGUGGGGAAUAUUGCACAAUGGGGGAAACCCUGAUGCAGCGACGCCGCGUGGAGGAAGAAGGUCUUCGGAUUGUAAACUCCUGUUGUUGAGGAAGAUAAUGACGGUACUCAACAAGGAAGUGACGGCUAACUACGUGCCAGCAGCCGCGGUAAAACGUAGGUCACAAGCGUUGUCCGGAAUUACUGGGUGUAAAGGGAGCGCAGGCGGGAGAACAAGUUGGAAGUGAAAUCCAUGGGCUCAACCCAUGAACUGCUUUCAAAACUGUUUUUCUUGAGUAGUGCAGAGGUAGGCGGAAUUCCCGGUGUAGCGGUGGAAUGCGUAGAUAUCGGGAGGAACACCAGUGGCGAAGGCGGCCUACUGGGCACCAACUGACGCUGAGGCUCGAAAGUGUGGGUAGCAAACAAGAUUAGAUACCCUGGUAGUCCACACCGUAAACGACAUAAAGGGGUGUGGAGGAUGACCCCGUCAGCGCCGCAGUUAACACAAAAAAUAAUCCACCUGGGGGGUAGGACGGCAGGGUUGAAAUUAAAAGGAAUUGACGGGGGGCCGCACAAGCAGUGGAGUAUGUGGUUUAAUUUGACGCAACGGGAAGAACCUUUCCAAGUCUUGACAUCCCUUGACGAGGCUGGAAACAGUAUUUCUAUUUGGAGCAAGGAGACAGGCGGUGCAUGGUUGUCGUCAGCUCGUGUCGUGAGAUGGUGGGUUAAGUCCCGCAACGAGCGCAACCUUUUUGGUCAGUUAGUACGCAAGAGGACUAUGGCCAGACUGCCGUUGACAAAAAGGAGGAAGGAGGGGAGGACGUCAAAUCAUCAUGCCCUUUAUGACUUGGGGUACACACGUACUACAAUGGCGUUAAACAAAGAGAAGCAAGACCGCGAGGUGGAGCAAAACUCAGAAACAACGUC
rnacentral:rRNA from 1 species